rnacentral:rRNA from 1 species
GACGAACGCUGGCGGCGUGCUUAACACAUGCAAGUCGAACGGAAAGGCCCUGCUUUUGUGGGGUGCUCGAGUGGCGAACGGGUGAGUAUCACGUGAGUAACCUGCCCUUGACUUUGGGAUAACUUCAGGAAACUGGGGCUAAUACCGGAUAGGAGCUCCUGCUGCAUGGUGGGGGUUGGAAAGUUUCGGCGGUUGGGGAUGGACUCGCGGCUUAUCAGCUUGUUGGUGGGGUAGUGGCUUACCAAGGCUUUGACGGGUAGCCGGCCUGAGAGGGUGACCGGCCACAUUGGGACUGAGAUACGGCCCAGACUCAUACGGGAGGCAGCAGUGGGGAAUAUUGCACAAUGGGCGGAAGCCUGAUGCAGCAACGCCGCGUGCGGGAUGACGGCCUUCGGGUUGUAAACCGCUUUCGCCUGUGACGAAGCGUGAGUGACGGUAAUGGGUAAAGAAGCACCGGCUAACUACGUG